UGAGUUCUUGCAAAUCAAUUUUAAAAACAAAGCAAGUUCUAAACUAUUUUUCAGAGUCCGAUUUCAACCUCUCUUUUUUUCUUUUUUGAUUUAUUACAGUAUUCCAGAAACAUUUUGAAUAAUUAUUCCACUGCUGCCUACAAAAAUGCUUACAAAGCAAAAAAAAAAAACAACAACAACGCAAGAGAAGAGUGACAUCUACCAAACCCGCUUGAGCGAGUGGAAGCAGGAAAGAAUUAUCCUUUGCGACGAGACAUUCAAGAAAAGGUGAGGAAGGGGGUUGAACAGUAUGAAUCAGGAAAGAUGAACAGUGAAUUACCGCCUGUCUUCGAAGAAGUUGAUGAAGAGACGUCUAGGCUCCCAGAAAUUAUUACACCAGGUGUCCAUUCAAAGAAACAGAAGAAAUCAAAAUCAACAGAAAAAAAAACAAUGACAUAAAAGAAAUUAAAACAAAGACAAUUAAUGAACUUGGAGAACUUACAGUGAGGUAAGUUGAUAGAAACAUGCAAUUAGGUCAACAAGAGGAAGACUUCACCUGAAUUGAAAAACGAAACCCCAAAUCCUCCGAUUCCCAGAACAUGAAUGUGCGAAUUGAAACCCACAGAAGACCACAACACCAACUAAAAAGGACGGCAAUGAGAUUUGGAUGAAAACCCACAGUGACAACCCAAAAAGAAAAUGAAACAAUGAUAUGUAUUGAGGGAAAAUUAAGAUAUUAUGAUAAAAAGAUGAAGUAAUGGGUAACAGAGCCUUGGCCCAUCCCAAAG
rnacentral:lncRNA from 1 species